CGGGGGCGGGGACGGAGGCCGCCGACGUCGACGCCGGCGUGGGCGCGCGCGGUGCACGCUGGUAGCUGUCACUAGGCCCUGGGCUGGCGGCCUUCGUGCGGCUGCCGCGGUUGCCAAGAGAGCGGCGCCAGCGGGGAGCAGCAGAGCCCGCGGCAGGGAAUGAUUUUGCAUGACUUUGGAACUGGUGUCUAGUAGAACACGGUGGGAGAAUGAACACAGAAGAGCUAGAGUUAUUGAGUGACUCCAAAUACAGAAACUAUGUAGCUGCCAUUGACAAAGCACUAAAGAAUUUUGAAUACUCCAGUGAAUGGGCAGACUUGAUCUCAGCACUUGGAAAACUCAACAAGGUUUUACAAAAUAAUGCCAAGUACCAGGUAGUACCCAAAAAACUGACCAUAGGCAAACGCCUAGCUCAAUGUCUGCACCCAGCAUUACCAGGUGGGGUUCAUCGGAAAGCACUUGAAACCUAUGAAAUCAUCUUCAAAAUCAUUGGCCCUAAGCGACUUGCCAAAGAUCUCUUUUUAUAUAGUUCUGGGUUGUUUCCUCUUCUUGCCAAUGCUGCUAUGUCUGUGAAGCCAGCACUGCUCGGUUUGUAUGAGAUGUACUACUUGCCCUUGGGGAAAACCCUGAAACCUGGUCUCCAGGGGUUGCUGACUGGUAUCCUUCCUGGCUUAGAAGAAGGGUCGGAGUAUUAUGAGAGAACAAACACCCUGCUGGAAAAGGUUGCUGCGGCUGUAGAGCAGUCUGCAUUCUACAGUGCCCUAUGGGGCAGUCUGCUCACCAGUCCUGCUGUGCGCUUACCUGGAAUCACAUAUGUUCUGGCCCAUCUGAACAGGAAACUUUCAAUGGAAGAUCAGCUGUAUAUAAUUGGCAGCGACAUUGAGCUCAUGGUAGAAGCAGUAAGCACUUCAGUGCAGGACUCGAGUGUACUUGUACAGAGAAGCACGCUGGACCUCAUCCUCUUCUGUUUCCCAUUCCAUAUGAGUCAGGCCACUCGACCAGAUAUGAUCAGGAUCUUGUCAGCAGCCCUUCAUGUAGUACUAAGGAGGGAUAUGUCCUUGAACCGAAGACUUUAUGCAUGGCUUCUUGGUUUUGAUAACAACGGUGCUAUCAUAGGACCAAGGAGCACACGACACAGUAAUCCUGAAGAACACGCCACUUACUAUUUUACAACCUUUUCAAAAGAAUUGUUAGUCCAGGCCAUGGUGGGGAUCUUACAAGUGAAUGGAUUUGGAGAAGAAAGCACUCUCAUGCAGGAUCUAAAACCUUUUCGUAUUUUAAUCAGUUUAUUGGACAAACCUGAACUAGGACCUGUAAUCCUAGAAGAUGUUCUGAUUGAGGUGUUUAGAACUUUGUAUUCUCAGUGCAAAGCAGAAUUGGAUCUUCAGAUGGAACCACCCUUCAGCAAGGACCAUGCUCAAUUAAGCAGUAAAUUAAGGGAAAAUAAGAAAACAGCCGAACUGAUUAAAACUGCAAAUCUGCUUUUUAAUUCCUUCGAACCUUAUUAUAUGUGGGAUUACAUUGCACGCUGGUUUGAAGAAUGUUGUCGGAGAACUCUGCACGCCAGACUUCAGGUUGGACCUGGAGACAGUAGUGAUUCGUCUGAGUUACAACUGACUAAUUUCUGCUUACUGGUGGAUUUUUUGUUGGAUAUAGUCUCCUUGCCUACUAGAAGUAUGAGGGUGCUGUGUCAGGAGACCUAUAUUGAAAUCCAGACAGAACACCUGCCCCAGUUACUGCUUAGAAUGAUUUCUGCCUUGACAAGCCAUCUCCAGACAUUGCGCUUAUCUGAGCUCACAGACUCUUUAAGGCUCUGCUCGAAGAUCCUUAGCAAGGUUCAGCCCCCAUUGUUAUCUGCUGGCAAUGGAGGUGUGGUACAGUUUCCAAGUGGGCAGAACAGUACAGUCAAAGAAUGGGAAGACAAAAAGCAGGUAUCAUCAGUUUCUAUGGAAAAUCCUGCUGAAGUAUUUGAAGAUGGAGAAAAUCCACCAAGUAGUCGAUCAUCAGAAAGUGGGUUCACUGAGUUUAUCCAGUAUCAAGCAGACCGGCCUGACGACCUCGACAGAGAGCUGAAUGGACAGGGGGCAGCUACCAUCCCAAUUGGCAGCACAUCUUCGGAAACAGAAACAGCAUCCACAGUGGGUUCUGAGGAAACCGUCAUCCAGCCACCUUCCACCUUCACUCAGGGGGCAGCAGGCCGAAGCGGGAAGGCGGUACAGAAGACUGCAAUGCAGUGCUGCUUGGAGUAUGUCCAGCAGUUUCUUUCCAGGCUCAUCAACCUCUACAUCAUCCACAGUGACUCCUUUCCUCAAGCUUUGGCUGCAGAUCAUCAGGGAGACUUCAGUCGAAUACAAAGGGAGACUUCAAAAUGGGACAGGGAUUCCCAAGGGGAUGCAAAAGAAAGAAACAUACAUACUCCAAAAACAUCAAAAGAAUACCUUUCUGCCUUCCUUGCUGCCUGUCAGCUCUUCUUAGAGUGCUCAAGUUUCCCAGUCUACAUCGCUGAGGGAAACCAUACAUCAGAGUCACAUUCUGAGAAACCGGACACUGACUGUGAGCACGCCCACCCUCCACAGUGGCUCCGGACGCUGAUGAGCGCUUGCAGCCAAGCACGUGAUUUCAGGGUUCAGAGUGCUGCUGUGUCUCUAGUCAUGGACCUGGUGGGACUGACUCAAUCUGUUGCCAUGGUCACUGGAGAAAACAUCAACAGCAUGGAGCCUGCACAACCCUUGAGUCCAAACCAAGGAAGAGUGGCUGUGGUUAUUAGACCUCCCCUCACACAGGGCAACCUGAAGUAUAUAGCUGAGAAGACUGAAUUUUUCAAGCAUGUGGCCUUAACAUUAUGGGACCAGCUGGGAGAUGGGACACCUCAGCACCAUCAGAAGAGUGUGGAACUAUUUUAUCAAUUACAUAAUUUGGUUCCUUCUUCUAGCAUCUGUGAGGACGUUGUAAGUCAGCAGUUAACCCAUAAAGACAAGAAAAUAAGGAUGGAAGCACAUGCAAAAUUUGCAGUUCUUUGGCAUCUAACAAGGGAUCUCCACAUAAAUAAGUCAUCUUUUGCACGUUCCUUUGACAGGUCACUGUUCAUCAUGCUAGAUAGCCUUACUAGUUUAGAUGGUUCUACGAGCUCUGUGGGACAAGCCUGGCUGAACCAGGUGCUACAAAGGCAUGACAUUGCAAGGGUGCUGGAACCACUGUUACUGCUCCUGCUUCAUCCAAAAACUCAGAGGGUUUCAGUGCAGCGGGUACAAGCAGAACGGUACUGGAGUAAGACGUCCUGUUAUCCAGGAGAGGAAAAUGAUAAGCAUUUCAUGCAAAAUUUUACCUGCAACAAUGUAAGCCAAGUGCACCUCAUUGCAUCCAAAGGAAAUGGUGAAAAGCCCCUUACCAUGGAUGAAAUGGAGAAUUUCAGUCUUACUGUUAAUCCAUUGAGUGAUAGACUUUCCCUCCUAAGCACCAGCAGCGAGACGAUUCCAAUGGUUGUAUCUGACUUUGACCUCCCAGAUCAGCAGAUGGAAAUACUUCAGAGCUCUGACUCUGGAUGCUCACAGUCUUCUGCUGGAGACAACUUUAGUUACGAAGUUGAUCCUGAAAAUGCGAAUGCCCAUGAAGAUUCUCACAUGGCAAAGGCAAGCUCCCCAGAUGAUGAUGUUCAGCAAGUUGUCUUUGACCUGAUAUGUAAAGUUGUGAGUGGCCUGGAAGCAGAGUCUGAAUCAGUUACAUCUGAAUUAGAAAUCGAAUCUCUGCAAACAAAGAGUAGUGACUUAGAUCCAGGUAAAGAAGCAACUAAGAUUGAAGACCAGGCCCCUCAACACAGCCAGCAUGUUUUGCUGAGCGAUGACAGCCCUCGGUUUCUGUCUGUGUCUACAGAGGAAGGCUGUGAGUGCUUGGCCAAUGGAAUCUCCAGAAAUAGCUCCUCACCUUGCAUUUCAGGAACAGCACAGACUCUGAACGAUUCUUCUGUUCCCUCAGAAACCAAAUCUAGACAGAGGAGUCACAGUAGUAUUCAAUUUAGCUUCAAAGAAAAAUUAUCAGAAAAAGUCUCAGAGAAAGAAACAAUUGUUAAGGAAUCAGGUAAACAACCAGGUGCAAAACCCAAAGUAAAGCUGGCCAGGAAAAAAGAUGAGGACAAGAAAAAAGCUGCAAGUGAGAAACUGAAGCAAGCAAAUGUCUUCUUCAGUGAGGGCCUGGACUUAGAGAACUGGUACAGCUGUGGGGAGGGCGAAAUUUCUGAAAUUGAGAGUGACAUGGGUUCUCCAGGAUCUAGGAAAUCUCCCAACUUCAACAUCCAUCCUCUCUAUCAACACGUGCUCCUGUAUCUGCAGCUGUAUGAUUCAUCGAGGACUCUGUAUGCUUUUUCUGCCAUCAAAUCCAUCUUGAAAACUAACCCCAUUGCUUUUGUAAACGCCAUUUCAACAACAAGUGUAAACAAUGCAUACACCCCUCAGCUGUCUCUGCUUCAGAACCUGCUGGCUAGACACCGAAUCUCUGUUAUGGGCAAAGACUUUUACAGUCACAUUCCAGUGGAUUCAAACCAUAACUUCCGGAGUUCCAUGUACAUUGAAAUUCUUAUUUCCCUCUGCUUAUAUUAUAUGCGUAGCCAUUACCCAACUCAUGUCAAGGUCACUACCCAAGACUUAAUAGGCAAUCGAAACAUGCAAAUGAUGAGCAUAGAAAUCUUGACUCUCCUCUUUACAGAGCUAGCAAAAGUAAUAGAGAGCUCUGCAAAGGGUUUCCCUAGUUUUAUCUCUGAUAUGCUGUCUAAGUGCAAAGUUCAGAAAGUGAUUCUUCAUUGUUUGCUGUCGUCUAUCUUCAGCGUACAAAAGUGGCACAGUGAGAAAACAGCAGGUAAGAGCAUGGUUGCUGUGGAGGAGGGCUUCUCAGAAGACAGCCUCAUCAAUUUCUCAGAGGAUGAACUUGACAAUGGCAGCACACUGCAGUCGCAGCUUCUGAGGGUGCUUCAGAGGCUGAUUGUUCUAGAGCACCACGUGAUGACUAUUCCUGAGGAGAAUGAAGCAGGCUUUGAUUUUGUUGUGUCUGAUCUGGAACAUAUCAGUCCCCAUCAGCCCAUGACUUCUCUUCAGUAUUUACAUGCUCAGCCAAUCACAUGUCAAGGCAUGUUCCUCUGUGCAGUGAUUAGAGCUUUGCAUCAGCACUGUGCAUGUAAGAUGCAUCCACAAUGGAUUGGCUUAAUCACUUCCACUCUGCCUUACAUGGGAAAAGUUCUACAAAGAGUCGUGGUUUCUGUGACACUACAGCUGUGCAGGAAUUUGGAUAAUCUAAUUCAGCAGUACAAAUACGAAACAGGAUUAUCUGAUAGCCUUUGUGGGUGGCAUCAAUUAUCCCACCAGAUAUGAUUCUUACUCUUUUGGAAGGAAUCACAGCCAUUAUCCAUUACUGCUUGCUGGAUCCGACUACCCAGUAUCAUCAACUUUUGGUCAAUGUAGAUCAGAAACACUUGGUUGAAGCUCGCAGUGGAAUCCUCUCAAUCCUUCACAUGAUCAUGUCCUCUGUAACUCUGCUUUGGAGCAUACUGCACCAGGCUGAUGCUUCAGAAAAGAUGGCAGUUGCUGCAUCCGCGUCUGUUACUACAAUCAAUCUGGGAGCCACAAAGAACUUGAGACAACAAAUCCUGGAAUUACUGGGACCCAUUUCAAUGAAUCAUGGUGUUCAUUUCAUGGCUGCCAUUGCAUUUGUAUGGAAUGAAAGAAGACAGAACAAAACCCCUUCCAGAACAAAGGUCAUCCCUGCAGCCAGUGAAGAACAGCUUUUACUAGUAGAACUGGUUCGCUCCAUCAGUGUCAUGAGGGCAGAAACUGUUAUCCAGACUGUGAAAGAAGUUUUAAAGCAGCCUCCAGCCAUAGCCAAGGACAAGAAACAUCUUUCUCUGGAAGUCUGCAUGCUUCAGUUUUUCUACGCUUAUAUACAAAGAAUUCCAGUGCCCAAUAUAGUGGACAGUUGGACAUCAUUAUUGGUCCUUCUAAAAGAUUCUAUACAGCUGAGUCUGCCAGCCCCAGGGCAGUUUCUUAUACUUGGGGUUUUGAAUGAGUUUAUUAUGAAAAACCCUAGUUUGGAAAAUAAAAAGGACCAAAGAGACCUUCAGGAUGUGACUCACAAAAUAGUGGAUGCUAUUGGUGCAAUUGCUGGUUCCUCUCUGGAACAGACAACAUGGCUCCGACGGAAUCUGGAAGUUAAGCCUUCUCCCAAAAUAAUGGUGGAUGGAACCAAUUUAGAGUCUGAUGUUGAAGAUAUGUUAUCCCCUGCAAUGGAAACCUCAAACAUAACUCCUUCUGUAUAUAGUGUCCAUGCACUGACGUUGCUCUCAGAGGUAUUGGCUCAUCUUCUGGAUAUGGUUUUCUACAGCGAUGAAAAAGAGCGUGUUAUCCCUUUACUUGUAAACAUUAUGCAUUAUGUUGUACCCUACCUCCGAAAUCACAGUGCACAUAAUGCCCCUAGUUACCGAGCCUGUGUCCAGCUGCUCAGUAGUCUUAGUGGGUAUCAGUAUACAAGGAGAGCCUGGAAAAAAGAAGCCUUUGACCUUUUUAUGGAUCCCAGCUUCUUUCAGAUGGAUGCUUCCUGUGUUAGUCACUGGAGAGCAAUCAUGGACAACCUGAUGACACAUGAUAAGACAACCUUCAGAGAUUUGAUGACUCGAGUAGCCGUGGCCCAGAGCAGUUCUCUCAAUCUUUUUGCAAACCGGGAUGUGGAGCUAGAACAGCGAGCCAUGCUUCUCAAAAGACUGGCCUUCGCCGUUCUUAGCAGUGAAAGUGACCAGUACCAAAAGUACCUUCCAGACAUACAAGAGAGAUUGGUUGAGAGUCUCCGUUUGCCCCAGGUGCCGACCCUUCACUCUCAAGUGUUCCUGUUUUUCAGAGUGUUACUUUUAAGAAUGUCUCCACAACACCUCACCUCACUCUGGCCUACCAUGAUCACAGAACUUGUGCAGGUGUUCUUACUGAUGGAGCAGGAGCUCACUGCUGAUGAAGAUAUUUCACGGUAAUGUGUGCUCAAGUUGCCUGAAGUUACUCAGGAGAGUUCAGGCACCCCACUAUCCACACACUUCCAUUAUUUGGGGCUAGAGAGAUGGCUCAGUGGUGAAGAGUGCUGACAACUCUCUCAGAGGAGCUGGUUCAAUUCCCAUCACCCACAUGGGAUUGUCUGUACCUACAGUUCCAAGGGAAUUGACACAUGGUGCACAGAUAGAAAUGCCGGCACAACUCCCAUACACAUAAAAUAAAAUAAAAUCUUUACAAAAUGAAUAUUUCCAUUAUUUAAGUUUGAAUAUAAUUGUCUUUAGUCAGGAAACAUAAUAGAUUAUCACUAUUUAUGGCUGUCAGCCUCUACACAAAGAAUCCACUUAAUAUAAUUUAGUGUUAUUUCAACUACAUUAGUCAUGUUAGUUUUGGAAGUUUAGAUCUAGUCUCUAAAACUUGGGAUACAUAAUAAAAUCAGUAUGGCAGGUAACCUGUGACCAAGGUAUCUAUAGAUCUUCCAGAAUGUUCCCAGUUGAGUGUACAGUAGCUAGCUCAGUGUGUAAUACUUGCCAUGUGUGAGGACCUGAGUUCUAUCCCUGAACACAUGUAAAUGUGUAGGUGUGCUUGCUGGAGAGAUGACUGAGCAGUUAAGAACUCAUGUGCUCUUGCUGAAGACCAGGGUUCAGUUCCCAGCACGCACAUGCCAGUCACAGCUAUCUGUCACUCCAGUUCCAGGGGAUCCAGUAACCUCUUUUGACUCCUACAAACACCAGAGAUGUAUAUGGUGUGUGUGUGUGUGUGUGUGUGUGUGUGUGUGUGUGUGUGUGUGUGUGUGUAGAGCCAAAAAUUCUUACCCAGAGAAUGAAAACAGAAAAAGGUGGCAGUGGUUCGUGCAUUUGCAGUCAUGUCUGAAGAACUGGACGAAGCUGGUUACUGGGACUUACUGCCCAGCCAACCUAGCCUACUUGGUAAGCUCCAAGCUAAUGAGAAACUCUGCCUCAUAAACAGGAUAUAUAUAGUGCCUGAAGAGUAACGUUUCAAAAUACAGUGUAGUUGUGAUCACUGAUUCCUGCUCAUCAGUGUGGCUUUGGAACAGACAAGUUAAUCUUUAGCAUUUCCAGGACUCCUGUGAGCCAAAGGUUCUGAUGACAGCACUGUCUGGUUACAGGACGUCAGGGCCGUCUGCUGCUGGUCUGGAGACAACCUAUACUGGAGGUAAUGGCUUCUCCACAUCAUAUAACAGCCAGAGGUGGUUAAACCUCUAUCUCUCUGCUUGCAAGUUUUUGGAUUUGGCUCUGGCAUUGCCCUCUGAAAAUCUUCCUCAGUUUCAGAUGUAAGUAAAAGCAAGGCUAUUAAAUGGGUAUUUUUCAAAAUACAUUUGGUCACUGAUGUACAACCUAAAGUUUUUUGUGUAGGUUGAAGUAUUCAUAAGUUUCCACUAAAACCUUUCUGCAUUGGAAAGAGUGGAGCAGCAGUUAUUAGCACUAAUGGUUGCUGUGGAUAUGUUCCCACCUAGAAGUGGGGCAGUGGGGUGCAGCCUCAGAAGCUAUAAGGUCAGUGGAGGGGACAGAGCCAAACACAUGAAGGAAGUUAUGAGGAAAGCAUAAGAUUGCUGCCGACUUUGAGGUUCAGAACAAGUCCAGGAAGGAGUUGUAAGCAGAGAUGGUACAGAGCUAGAUGCUCACUCUGAAGACAGGCAGGACUGGGGCUGAUCUGUCUGAGGUGUUAAAAGAUCUGUCCUGCUGGCGUUCGUGUGAAAGGAGGGGCUACAAAGGGACUCUACUAUGUAAAGCAUCGUAAAAAAAAGAGCAUAGAUGUAACCUAAGAUAAUGUGAAUCCACUGAAGCAUUUAACAGAUUAAGUGAUAUUAUUAGGCUUGCAUUUUAGAAAGUUUAUCUUCGCUGUGUAGUGUGGAAGAAAGCAUAAUAAAUAAAAAGCUCCAAGAUAGUUCAAACAGCAUUUGUGCCUGCUUUUAUUUUUUGGUGGAGUUGUCUUAGUGCUGGGGAUGGAGUCCAGGAUCUUCAGCAUGCCAGGCAAGCACCCACAACCCUUGUGACUUUGGUAGCAGUUUGUUUCUGAAAAUCAGAGGGUUGAGUCCAAAAAUAUGUGCUUUUCUAUGCAUAGACUCUCUGGAAGGAUACAUACAGUACAAGAGCCUAGCAGCCCUGACGGUUCCUGUAAAGGAAAGUCUUCCUUCUAGUAUAUUUUUACAUGCCGGAAUAAUCAACUUUGUUGUAGUGCAGACAGCAGUUUCCUUCUGAGUAGCCUGACUACCAGUCAGCAAGAGACUGAGGCAGGCGGACUGCAAGCUUGAGGUAGUCACUGCAGCAACACAAUAUAUUCUGUCUAUUAGGGAAAGAGGAAACUUUUUUAAAACUGGUUUUGCUAAUGAGUAAAAUGGUGGUGAGUGCAUUACAAGUUGUCCUAUUAUCAUAUAACGCUGGGACAGUCGGUUUUGUUUUGGGGUUUUUGUUGUUGUUGUUUUUGUUUGUUUGGUUGGUUGGUUUUUUUUCAGCCAACGUUUCUCUGUGUAGCCCUGGCUGUCCUGGAACUCUAUUUGUAGAGCAGGCUGGCCUUGAACUCAUAGAGAUCCCCUGCUUCUGCCCCCUCCCCGAGGGCUGGGAUUAAAGGCAUAUGCUACCACCACUCAGCUUCAAAUAAUGAAUUCUGCUUUUACUGAGUAAAGCCUGGCUCAGCUGGCUCUUAAGUUUGCAUGUAGUGGGGCCAUGGUCUUUGUACUAAAUGAUGUAGCUUAUCUUUGAUGACACAGUGUGUGUUGUGUUACUAAUAUAAGCCUUCUCCCACUGGUAGGUACCGAUGGGCCUUUAUUCCUGAAGCUUCAGAUGACUCGGGCUUAGAAGUCAGAAGGCAGGGCAUACAUCAGCGAGAAUUUAAGCCAUAUGUGGUUCGACUAGCAAAACUUCUUCGGAAGAGGGCAAAGAAAAACCCAGAGGAAGACUGCUCGGGGAGGACACUGGGCUGGGAGCCAGGGCACUUGCUGCUGACGCUCUGCACCAUGCGCAACAUGGAGCAGCUUCUGCCUUUCUUCAAUGUCCUCAGCCAAGUCUUCAACAGCAAAGUCACAAGCCGCUGUGGCGGACACUCAGGGAGCCCCGUCCUCUACCCAAACUCCUUCCCAAACAAGGACAUGAAACUGGAGAAUCACAAAGCCUUUUCCAGCAAAGCCAGGCAAAAAAUUGAAGAGAUGAUAGAAAAGGACUUUCUAGAAGGAGUCAUAAAGACUUGACCACCACCAGUGGUUCUCCAGAGCCUAAAUGGAAUACUUAAAACACACUGCUGAGUUGUAUAGUUUCUUUUUCUUUUAUAUAUAUAUAUAUGUGUAUAUGUAACAAAGCAUUAUUCAGGUUGUAUUUAAUUUAAAUAUUUGUAAAUAAGAGCUUAUGUCUGAAUGUGGCCUGAAUCAAGUUUAAAUAUAUAGGUGGCUCAUACUGAUGAUGGUGCCUACAAGGUCUAUAUUUGCAUAUAUAGUCCAUUGUUUCACUGUCUUGGGUUGUCUUAAACCUGCAAAAUACACACCACGUUUUCUUUUU